CACAGAGCUUGGACAAUUUCAGAGAUGGCUAACCUUGACCUAUGUUAAGAGGUUUAAAAGUCACAUUCUGUUUCAAUCUGUUCAGUUUUGUUUUUGGGUGGCGGGCAUGACAGCCAGUCAGCGUAGAGCUGCGCCGUGACGUCAGUGGCUGGUCUCUCCAGCCACAUUCAAACAUUCAUUAUUUGUAUUUAUAUAAUGGCUGAGUGGAUCCUUAUUUGAUUGGUGGCUUGUACGAGGUCUGU